rnacentral:sRNA from 1 species
UGUUAUUGCCAUUUCUGCUUUUAGUUUCAUUUCAUUUAUGUUAUUGCAUACUAGGACUGUUAGAACCAACCAACUCUCUACUUGGCUUGACUU